GUCUCCGUGGCGCAAUGGUAGCGCGUUGGACUUCUACCUUCUCUAUCGCCGUUUUCAAAAUGGUUCUGGGUCAUCCAAAGGCUGCGGGUUCGAGCCCCGCCGGAGAUG